rnacentral:lncRNA from 1 species
UGAUGUUAGAUAAUAAUUAAAGAGACAAGGACCCCUCUGCAUCAUUCAGCUGAAGAUGUGUUACUCUGUACUCACUCUCUUAGUUCUUAAGAUCUCACAGACCUGUUGGCAAGUAUACUCCAGGACAGCAGGAGGAGACAGCAUGAGAGAAGAGAAGCAGCUGAGGUCUUUGUUUCUCACAGACACAGUCACAAUGUUGAGAGGUGGAGCAGCCACUAUCUGGCCAUCUGAGGUUGGCAGAACCAGAAGUGAAAAACAGUCUAUAUUCCUGAAUUUCCUGAGCAAAUGCAUCAGGACUAGGCUGCCUAUCUCAAAACUUCACACAGAGGGG